AAGGGAUGUUCCAGAUACAGAAAAUCGUCAAACCAUUUACUACAAAGUCCGUUUCUGGGUGGAGUUAGUGGAACCGAAAAAGAUGUCUCCCUCACAGCGUUUGUGACAAAAGAAUUGCAUCGUUCCUUGGCGGCCUUUCAACAGAAGAAUAUUCAGAGAUUUCCCGAGUGAUUCUGAUUUUGGUUCCUGGAAAGCCUCCAUUGUUGGAGGACGAGAAGCCGUAUCCACUUGAAGCAGCACAGGCUUCUGCGAUGACUGUGGAAACCACUGCUUAUGCCUUGCUUCAAGCAUUGUCAAGGAAUGAUAUUGACUAUGCAACACCGAUUGCGAGGUGGCUAACGAUGCAACAGAACUAUGGUGGUGGAUUUCACUCGACGCAGGACACAAUCAUUGCCUUGGAAGCUUCAUCAUGAUAUGACAUUGCAUUUCUGAAGAGGGAAGAAGAAAUCAACAUGCAAAUUCAAUUCCAUGGUUUUGGAAGUCCCAUUGAGAACACGAUUCAUGUGCGCUGGCAUAAUGCUCUGACCGAGAAAGAAUCGAAGCUUCCGCUUGGAAGAAAGAUUCACAUCAAGUUGACUGGUCAAGUAAAUGGGACACUGACUAACCAGACAAUUUGACUGUUUUGAUGAGGAACUUAAAGAUUACGAGUCCCGUCCGUUUGACUCAGAGUUUGGUACCAUAGGUUGGUACGAUCUUCGUUGGAGAAGGAAAAGGGAUGUUCCAGACUCAGAAAAUAGUCAAACCAUUUACUACAAAGUCCGUUUCUGAUUGUGAUGUUGGUUCCUGGAAAGCCUCCAUUGUUGGAGGACGAGAAGCCGUAUCCAAUUGAAGCAGCAGAGGCUUCUGCGAUGACUGUGGAAACCACUGCUUAUGCCUUGCUUCAAGCGUUGUCAAGGAAUGAUAUUGACUAUGCAACACCGAUUGCGAGGUGGCUAACGAUGCAACAGA